GCCAUACAUUCUAUCCCACACUAGCAUUCACAUUAGUAGCAGUAUGCAAUUUCCACAAUAAAACUGGCGUAAUGAAUUCCUUUACAGGGCGAACACUUCAGGAUGUUCAGGUUUUUCCCUCUCCCUGGAUGGAGCAGUAAUCUGCUCUGCUGCAGACCUCUGGGCAGCAGGCAGGUGGACACGUCGUUUUGCACAAAACUCAGACUUCACCAGGUUCUGAUGCGGAGGCGCACGUGUGCAGGGCAGUGGGGCUGCACCCGACGGGCUGCGGUGCGGAGCACGCUGGGUGGUGGCACGGGAGCGCCGCUCAGCAUCCUGCUGGCGGCCUUGCUGAAGAGACACACAGCAGCAUCUUUGUGGGAGGGCAGCAACCCAGGAGACGACAUCACGGUGACACACCGCGGGACUCUUCAUGCGAGCCAAUGAUGUCUUUCUAGUUGCUUCUCCCCUAAAGAAAAGUUUGUAUUUAUGACUAUGCCUCCCUCCCCCCUCUGCC
rnacentral:lncRNA from 1 species